UACGUAGGGUGCGAGCGUUGUCCGGAAUUAUUGGGCGUAAAGGGCUUGUAGGCGGUUUGUCGCGUCUGCUGUGAAAUUUCGGGGCUCAACCCCGAACUUGCAGUGGGUACGGGCAGACUAGAGUGUGGUAGGGGAGACUGGAAUUCCUGGUGUAGCGGUGAAAUGCGCAGAUAUCAGGAGGAACACCGAUGGCGAAGGCAGGUCUCUGGGCCACUACUGACGCUGAGAAGCGAAAGCAUGGGGAGCGAACAGG
rnacentral:rRNA from 1 species